AUUGAACGCUGGCGGCAUGCCUUACACAUGCAAGUCGAACGGUAACAGGUCUUCGGAUGCUGACGAGUGGCGCACGGGUGAGUAAUACAUCGGAACGUGCCCGAUCGUGGGGGAUAACGAGGCGAAAGCUGUGCUAAUACCGCAUACGAUCUACGGAUGAAAGCGGGGGAUCUUCGGACCUCGCGCGGACGGAGCGGCCGAUGGCAGAUUAGGUAGUUGGUGGGAUAAAAGCUUACCAAGCCGACGAUCUGUAGCUGGUCUGAGAGGAUGAUCAGCCACACUGGGACUGAGACACGGCCCAGACUCCUACGGGAGGCAGCAGUGGGGAAUUUUGGACAAUGGGCGAAAGCCUGAUCCAGCCAUGCCGCGUGCAGGAUGAAGGCCUUCGGGUUGUAAACUGCUUUUGUACGGAACGAAAAGCCUCUUUCUAAUAAAGAGGGGUCAUGACGGUACCGUAAGAAUAAGCACCGGCUAACUACGUG
rnacentral:rRNA from 1 species